rnacentral:rRNA from 1 species
GUCCACACUGUAAACGAUGCAUACUGGGUGUCCGAAAUUCGUUUCGGGUACCGUAGCUAACGCGUUAAGUAUGCCGCCUGGGGAGUACGUACGCAAGUAUGAAACUCAAAGGAAUUGACGGGGCCCGCACAAGCGGUGGAGCAUGUGGUUUAAUUCGAAGCAACGCGCAGAACCUUACCAGGGUUUGACAUGGAAUCGCCGCAGCGAGAGAUCGCUGUUUAGUAGCAAUACUACGGUUCACACAGGUGCUGCAUGGCUGUCGU